AAUGAAAAACAUCUCCAAACAUAAACUGUUUGUUAAGCCAAGACCACAACAUCUAAUGAGCAUGGUCACUCUUCCUAUUGAGCUACCAAGAUGAUGGAGAAGCAGCCGCAGGGGCAACAAAUCUAGAGACAGAUCUGGAAAUGGGACUUGCACUUGGGCUCCUGCAGUAACUAUCUCGAGAAUAUUCACGUCUUGAUGAACCUCCAUAGGAUAGACUCCUUGUGUUCUUCUUUACCUUUGGAGAAAGGCUCCUAGAGUAA
rnacentral:misc_RNA from 1 species